rnacentral:rRNA from 1 species
AAUCAACGCUGGCGGCGUGCCUAACACAUGCAAGUCGAACGGGAAAGUGGAGCAAUCCAUGAGUAUAGUGGCGACCGGGUGAGUAACACGUGACUAACCUACCUUCAAGUGGGGGAUAACCUCGGGAAACCGGGGCUAAUACCGCAUAACAUCUCUGUUAUGAGAAAGCAGAGAUCAAAGGAGUAAUUCGCUGGAAGAGGGGGUCGCGGCUGAUUAGCUAGUUGGUGGGGUAACGGCCCACCAAGGCUUUGAUCGGUAGCCGGCCUGAGAGGGCGCACGGCCACACUGGAACUGAAACACGGUCCAGACUCCUACGGGAGGCAGCAGUGGGGAAUUUUGCGCAAUGGGGGAAACCCUGACGCAGCAACGCCGCGUGGAGGAUGAAGUCCCCUGGGACGUAAACUCCUUUCGACCGGGAAGAUUAUGACGGUACCGGUGGAAGAAGCCCCGGCUAACUUCGUGCCAGCAGCCGCGGUAAG